UACGUAGGGGGCGAGCGUUGUCCGGAUUUAUUGGGCGUAAAGAGCGUGUAGGCGGCCAGGUAGGUCUGCUGUGAAAACUCGAGGCUCAACCUCGAGACGUCGGCGGAAACCAUCUGGCUAGAGUCCGGAAGAGGAGAGUGGAAUUCCUGGUGUAGCGGUGAAAUGCGCAGAUAUCAGGAAGAACACCAAUGGCGAAGGCAGCUCUCUGGGACGGUACUGACACUGAGACGCGAAAGCGUGGGGAGCGAACAGG
rnacentral:rRNA from 1 species